rnacentral:rRNA from 1 species
UCCGUAGGUGAACCUGCGGAGGGAUCAUUACCGAGUUAUUCAACUCAUCAACCCUGUGAACAUACCUAAACGUUGCUUCGGCGGGAAUAGACGGCCCCGUGAAACGGGCCGCCCCCGCCAGAGGACCCUUAACUCUGUUUCUAUAAUGUUUCUUCUGAGUAAAACAAGCAAAUAAAUUAAAACUUUCAACAACGGAUCUCUUGGCUCUGGCAUCGAUGAAGAACGCAGCGAAAUGCGAUAAGUAAUGUGAAUUGCAGAAUUCAGUGAAUCAUCGAAUCUUUGAACGCACAUUGCGCCCGCCAGUAUUCUGGCGGGCAUGCCUGUUCGAGCGUCAUUACAACCCUCAGGCCCCCGGGCCUGGCGUUGGGGAUCGGCGGAGCCCCCCGUGGGCACACGCCGUCCCCCAAAUACAGUGGCGGUCCCGCCGCAGCUUCCAUCGCGUAGUAGCUAACACCUCGCGACUGGAGAGCGGCGCGGCCACGCCGUAAAACACCCAACUCUUCUGAAGUUGACCUCGAAUCAGGUAGGAAUACCCGCUGAACUUAAGCAUAUCAAUAAGCGGAGGAA